GUGGGGAAUAUUGGACAAUGGGCGAAAGCCUGAUCCAGCCAUGCCGCGUGUGUGAAGAAGGUCUUCGGAUUGUAAAGCACUUUAAGUUGGGAGGAAGGGCAGUAAGUUAAUACCUUGCUGUUUUGACGUUACCGACAGAAUAAGCACCGGCUAACUUCGUGCCAGCAGCCGCGGUAAUACGAAGGGUGCAAGCGUUAAUCGGAAUUACUGGGCGUAAAGCGCGCGUAGGUGGUUUUGUAAGUUGGAGGUGAAAUCCCCGGGCUCAACCUGGGAACUGCCUCCAAAACUGCAUGACUAGAGUACGGUAGAGGGUAGUGGAAUUUCCUGUAUAGCGGUGAAAUGCGUAGAUAUAGGAAGGAACACCAGUGGCGAAGGCGACUACCUGGACUGAUACUGACACUGAGGUGCGAAAGCGUGGGGAGCAAACAGGAUUAGAUACCCCUGUAGUCC
rnacentral:rRNA from 1 species